rnacentral:rRNA from 1 species
GAUGAACGCUAGCUACAGGCUUAACACAUGCAAGUCGAGGGGCAGCACAGCGUAGCAAUACACGGGUGGCGACCGGCGCACGGGUGCGUAACGCGUAUCCAACCUUCCCGUUACUCUUGGAUAGCCUUCCGAAAGGGAGAUUAAUACAAGAUGGUAUUCAAAUUCCGCAUGUUAUUUGAAUUAAAGAUUUAUCGGUAACGGAUGGGGAUGCGUGACAUUAGAUAGUAGGCGGGGUAACGGCCCACCUAGUCUACGAUGUCUAGGGGUUCUGAGAGGAAGGUCCCCCACACUGGAACUGAGACACGGUCCAGGCUCCUACGGGAGGCAGCAGUGAGGAAUAUUGGUCAAUGGUCGGAAGACUGAACCAGCCAAGUAGCGUGAAGGAUGAAGGUUCUAUGGAUUGUAAACUUCUUUUAUACGGGAAUAAAACACCUUACGUGUAGGGUCUUGUAUGUACCGUAUGAAUAAGCAUCGGCUAACUCCGUGCCAGCAGCCGCCGUAAAAC